rnacentral:misc_RNA from 1 species
CUUGGAUACAAGCUCUCUCAACAGAAAAAAGAUGAAUUCAAGAAGGAGAUUAAGGCCAUUAGCAAUGUUUAUCAUCGAAAUAUUGUUAAUCUAAUUGGAUACUGCAGUGACGAUGAUGACAAUAGACUGCUUGUUUUUGAGUUCGUUCCCAACAAUUCCUUGAAAUUUCAUUUACAUGAAAAUGGGAGUUCCACAAUAAACUGGUCAAAUAGAAUGAAAAUCGCC